rnacentral:rRNA from 1 species
CCUACGGGUGGCAGCAGUGAGGAAUAUUGGUCAAUGGGCGUAAGCCUGAACCAGCCAAGUCGCGUGAGGGAUGAAGGUUCUAUGGAUCGUAAACCUCUUUUAUAAGGGAAUAAAGUGUGGGACGUGUCCUAUUUUGUAUGUACCUUAUGAAUAAGGAUCGGCUAACUCCGUGCCAGCAGCCGCGGUAAUACGGAGGAUCCGAGCGUUAUCCGGAUUUAUUGGGUUUAAAGGGUGCGUAGGCGGCCUUUUAAGGCAGCGGUGAAAGUAUGUGGCUAAACCAUAGAAUUGCCGUGGAAACUGGGGAGGUGUGGUGUGUUGGAGGAAGGUGGAAGUGGUGGUGUGGCGGUGA